rnacentral:sRNA from 1 species
AGACAAGAGUGAUAAAGCCAUUGUAGAUUGUUCUCGAUGUUCCCAUCCAUCCGGUUGGCUAAAAUUGAGACAAAACAAAUCUGCAAGGUACACUCUUUUU